rnacentral:rRNA from 1 species
UGGGGAAUAUUGCACAAUGGGCGCAAGCCUGAUGCAGCCAUGCCGCGUGUAUGAAGAAGGCCUUCGGGUUGUAAGGUACUUUCAGCGGGGAGGAAGGGAGUAAAGUUAAUACCUUUGCUCAUUGACGUUACCCGCAGAAGAAGCACCGGCUAACUCCGUGCCAGCAGCCGCGGUAAUACGGAGGGUGCAAGCGUUAAUCGGAAUUACUGGGCGUAAAGCGCACGCAGGCGGUUUGUUAAGUCAGAUGUGAAAUCCUCGGGCUCAACCUGGGAACUGCAUCUGAUACUGGCAAGCUUGAGUCUCGUAGAGGGGGGUAGAAUUCCAGGUGUAGCGGUGAAAUGCGUAGAGAUCUGGAGGAAUACCGGUGGCGAAGGCGGCCCCCUGGACGAAGACUGACGCUCAGGUGCGAAAGCGUGGGGAGCAAACAGG